GCUUGUAGUAUAGUGGUCAGUAUUCCAGCCUGUCACGUAGGUGACACGGGUUCGAUCCCCGACAAUGGUA
rnacentral:tRNA from 1 species